GCAUCGAUGAAGAACGCAGCGAAAUGCGAUACGUAAUGUGAAUUGCAGAAUUCAGUGAAUCAUCGAAUCUUUGAACGCACCUUGCGCUCCUUGGUAUUCCGAGGAGCAUGCCUGUUUGAGUGUCAUGAAAUCUUCAACCCACCUCUUUCUUAGUGAAUCUGGUGGUGCUUGGUUUCUGAGCGCUGCUCUGCUUCGGCUUAGCUCGUUCGUAAUGCAUUAGCAUCCGCAACCGAACUUCGGAUUGACUUGGCGUAAUAGACUAUUCGCUGAGGAUUCUAGUUUACUAGAGCCGAGUUGGGUUAAAGGAAGCUCCUAAUCCUAAAGUCUAUUUUUUGAUUAGAUCUCAAAUCAGGUAGGACUACCCGCUGAACUUAAGCAUAUCAAUAAGCGGAGGA
rnacentral:rRNA from 2 species